UGGUAGGAAGUAGAGCUGGUGGUGGAAGGUUGUUUAUUGGACUUGAGGCCUGAGACGAGCGUUGUGUCAAAAGAAUUGGUGCUGGGCCUAUAACUCUCUAUAGGGUCUCCAUAGGGUGUUUUAUUACA